UACAGGGGGUGCAAACGUUGCUCGGAAUUAUUGGGCGUAAAGCGCGCGUAGGCGGUCUUGUAAGUCGGAUGUGAAAUCCCUCGGCUUAAACCGAGGAAGUGCAUCCGAAACUGCAAGGCUUGAGUACGAAAGAGGAUCGCGGAAUUCCCGGUGUAGAGGUGAAAUUCGUAGAUAUCGGGAAGGAACACCGGUGGCGAAGGCGGUUCUCUGGGCCUGACCUGACGGCUGAGGCACGAAAGCGUGGGGAGCAAACAGG
rnacentral:rRNA from 1 species